CAGCCGCCGCGGUAAUACGAAGGGGGCUAGCGUUGUUCGGAUUUACUGGGCGUAAAGGGCGCGUAGGCGGGCGAAUAAGUCAGGGGUGAAAUCCCAAGGCUCAACCUUGGAACUGCCUUUGAUACUGUUUGUCUUGAGUUCGAGAGAGGUAAGUGGAACUGCGAGUGUAGAGGUGAAAUUCGUAGAUAUUCGCAAGAACACCAGUGGCGAAGGCGGCUUACUGGCUCGAAACUGACGCUGAGGCGCGAAAGCGUGGGGAGCAAACAGGAUUAGAUACCCGAGUAGUCCCUGUCUCUUAUAC
rnacentral:rRNA from 1 species